CAGCACCUCAGCAGCAACCACCAUCUGCGAGCACCGGCGUUACAGGAAGAAGGUGUACUGCCAGCCGGCCUCCAAGAGCUACAUCAAGAGGCCGCUUGCUGCAGCAGGCUGUGGGGGACACCGCGAAAAGGGUCACCCUCGCAGCUGCGCGAAAUGAGCUAGCCGAAAAAUUAUUGGAGGAGUCCCGCAAGCAAACUGCUGAGCUGCAGGCGCUCAACGACCAGGUUGGCAGGCUGGCCGACGCAGUGGAGCGGCAGGCAGACGCCCUGGAACGGC